rnacentral:rRNA from 1 species
AUUAACUUUUUUGAUUUAUAUUUAGAUAUUGCAUAUCAUUUUAAGAAAAUUUUAUUGUUAAUAAAAAAUAGAAAUGAAAGGUAGAAAAAUUUUUACUUUUAUUGUUUUAUAAUAAAAAUUAAAAUUUUUAGGGUUGAUAAGUCGACUUUUAUAAUACUUGUUUUAUAUCAAAUAUUAGAAAUUUAUAUUAGGAAAUUAUUAUAAUGUAAUUAGAUAAUUUGAAGUGUUAAUUCAUUCUAGUUUUAUAACUAAUUAUGCUGUUGUAUUUUUUUUAAUAAGUGUAAAUUUAUUAAGUUUUUAAUAAAUUGAUUAUUUAAGAAUUAGUAAAUUUAAUUUAUAGGGUAAUAUUUUUUAAUAUAAUAGAAAAAUUCAGUAUUUAAUCAAAUGUUUUUUAAAGACUUAGACUUUUUUAUAAAGUUUGCUUCUGCCCAGUGAGAUAUUAAAUGGCAGUCUUAGCGUGAGGACAUUAAGGUAGCAAAAUAAUUUGUGCUUUUAUUGAGUUCCAGUAUGAAUGAAGUUAUUGGUUAAUGAUUUUUUUAUUUUAUUAUUGAAUUUUCAUAAGUAUAAAAAAUUAUUUAUAUAAUUAAACAAAGAUAAGUCUUCGGAAAUUCUUUUUAAAUUUUUUGUUUUCAAGAAAUUUAAAAUUUUCUAGGGCAGAAUAAUAUAUAUUAUUUUUUUUCUAUUAAUAAUUAAUAGAAUUACUCCGGAGUUAACAGAAAAUCAUAUCUAAUCUAGUUCUUAUAGUAGGAUAAGUUUUACAUCGAUGUUGUAUUUGAAUAUAUUAAAAAAGGAGAAGAUUUAAAUGUUAAGACUGUUCUUCUUUUAAUUAAUUCAACGUGAUAUUAGUUUAAUUCAUUGUGAG